rnacentral:rRNA from 1 species
GACGUAGGGCGCGAGCGUUGUCCGGAUUUAUUGGGCGUAAAGAGCUCGUAGGCGGCUUGUCGCGUCGUUCGUGAAAACCUGCAGCUCGAACUGCAGGCUUGCGGUCGAUACGGGCAGGCUAGAGUUCGGUAGGGAGACUGGAAGUUCCUGGAUGUAGCGGUGAAAUGCGCAGAUAUCAGGAGGAACACCGGUGGCGAAGGCGGGUCUCU